AGUGAACGCUGGCGGCGUGCCUAAUACAUGCAAGUCGAACGGAGUGGCGCACGGUUGAGUAAUAUAUAGCUAAUCUGCCCCUUGCUGGAGGACAACAGUUAGAAAUGACUGCUAAUACUCCAUAGAAAGGGAUGAGACUAUAUCGUAUCAGCUAGUCGGUGGGGUAACGGCCUACCGAGGCUAUGACGCGUAACUGGUCUGAGAGGAUGAUCAGUCACAUUAGAACUGAAACACGGUCCAAACUCCGACGGGAGGCAGCAGUAGGGAAUAUUUCGCAAUGGGGGAAACACUGACGCAGCAACGCCGCGUGGAGGAUGACACUUUUCGGAGCGUAAACUCCUUUUGUGAGGGAAGCGGUAUCUAACCAGAAAGCCACGGCUAACUACGUGCCAGCCGCCGCGGUAAUUC
rnacentral:rRNA from 1 species